GCCUCGGUCGUGCAGCGGUAGUUGCGCGCGUUUCAGGUAUGGAUGAAAGGCGGGUUCGAUUUCCGCCUGGGGCU